GCGCCGCGAUGGGCCUCCCGGGCGCCAUUUUGUACGAUGCUCUUUCCCAUUUUAGGCGGGGAGGAAGGGAGCGGGAGUGGUCGCUGCGUCUCCCGGGGGGCUCUGCCUCGUCUCGGGCUAGGGGAUGGGCUCCGUGGGACUUCCUCCUUCCGGCUGAAGGCUCCGUCUUCUCUCCUGUCCGGAGGCGAUGGUGGCUGUAGCGAGCGGGUAGCGUUUCCUUUCCCUUGGCGCGGUGAUGGCGCAGCAGCCGGGGGGAGGGGGAAGCUCGGCGAAGCCGGACCCGGAAGUGAAGGGACCUCUGAGGAGCCGCUCACCUAGCCCAUGGCCGCGGCGGAGGAGGAGGAGCCCCGUGAGGAGGGGGAGGUGGCAGCAGCCCGCAGCGAUGUCUGGGCCACGGAGGCGGGGCCGUACGAGAGGCGGCCGGGUACGGCAGCGUGAGUCGGUCGGCGCAGCCCCGUGCGGAUUGGACGCGCAGCCCCGGUGCAGAAGCCCUGGCUACCUGCUGAUAUCGCCAUUGGUAUGAGAGACUACAUGAUGGACUGUUUAGGAAGUUCUUGAUGCAUUGGUCAUCCAGUGGAAUAAAAUAACUUCUAUAGAGGGUCUACUUGUAUUAUGAUUACAACGAAAGUACUUCAGACUGUUUAGCCAAUCAGACCACCUAAUUGAACAUUUUGACACUACUUAAAAAGAUGACAUCUAGUAUAAUGGAAUGAAGAUUUCUUUCACUGAGUGCGUUGCAUUGUGUGGCAAGCAUGCAUUCUAGAGGAGCCUGAAAACAACCUCCUUUGAACCUCGAGACAUCUGUGCCACUGGAAUUGGCAUCUUCCUACAAAACAUGAGCAUCAACUAAGCUCUUUUUUCAGACCAAUCUGCUUGCUCUCCAUGUCUUGCUCUUUUUGAUUCCUGUACCAUAGUGACUCUAAAUCUAAACAUUGGAUAUUCUUCUCUGAUGCUUUAGGACAAAAUAUAAGAACAGCAUUGCAAGGAGAAACAUGCCUGCUGUACAAGACUUGAACCUACAUUGUUGAAUGCACACGUGAUCGGCUGAAGAUACCACUGGAUUACUUUAUCUUUUUAUUCUUCCUUCCAAAGUUUCUGGUAAUUGUUUCUGAAUCACUUUAAUCUAAAAACCCCAGGCUAGAUUUGCCUCAUAACUAAUUACUUAAAAUAAUACACUUCUAGUUGCCAAAACACUAGACAAAGUGAACUUUGUGCAGUUUAUUCUAUUCUGGACUUGUAAAAUGGAGUUUUGAACCUACUAAAUAAAAUUCUAUUGCUUACCUUA